UACGUAGGGGGCUAGCGUUGUCCGGAAUCAUUGGGCGUAAAGAGCGUGUAGGCGGCCCGGUAAGUCCGCUGUGAAAGUCGGGGGCUCAACCCUCGAAUGCCGGUGGAUACUGUCGGGCUAGAGUGCGGAAGAGGCGAGUGGAAUUCCUGGUGAUAGCGGUGAAAUGCGCAGAGUAUCAGGAGGAACACCGAUUGCGAAGGCAGCUCGCUGGGACGUAACUGACGCUGGAGACGCGAAAGCGUGGGGAGCAAACAGG
rnacentral:rRNA from 1 species